GGCCACUUGCAGUUAGCCUCNAUCCGGCGCCUUCCAAUGGGCGCGGGAGGACANANAAGCACCCCCCGUGUUCCACCGAGCCUUUCAUCGGACGCGUGGCCCACGGGGGAGUGCAAAGCUCUUGGACCCAGCNUAUGCCGUGGACGGGGACUCANGUCCCAGUCCCGAGAGGAGCUUAAGAUAUAACGGGNGACGGCCGCUCUCGCCCCAGGACCGCAUCGGCGGCGGGGGNCNGGGCGCGGNGUCGNGGANNAAUGCUACCUGGNUGAUCCUGCCAGU
rnacentral:misc_RNA from 1 species